rnacentral:rRNA from 1 species
CUGGCCUUGACAUACUAGAAACUUUCCAGAGAUGGAUUGGUGCCUUCGGGAAUCUAGAUACAGGUGCUGCAUGGCUGUCGUCAGCUCGUGUCGUGAGAUGUUGGGUUAAGUCCCGCAACGAGCGCAACCCUUUUCCUUAUUUGCCAGCGAGUAAUGUCGGGAACUUUAAGGAUACUGCCAGUGACAAACUGGAGGAAGGCGGGGACGACGUCAAGUCAUCAUGGCCCUUACGGCCAGGGCUACACACGUGCUACAAUGGUCGGUACAAAGGGUUGCUACCUAGCGAUAGGAUGCUAAUCUCAAAAAGCCGAUCGUAGUCCGGAUUGGAGUCUGCAACUCGACUCCAUGAAGUCGGAAUCGCUUGUAAUCGCGGAUCAGAAUGCCGCGGUGAAUACGUUCCC